UUUGAAGGACAGGCAAAUAAUGAGUCCUUCCAAGAGACCAGGAAAGGGUGUCCAGAGAGAUAGGAAGAGAUGCAGGGAAGAGGUGUUUCCCCAAGAACCAAUGGAGCAAGUUUCCUCUGGAGGAGAAGGGGGUCAAGAGGAAAAGAGAAUCACCUAACAUUUUUUGAACACCUGCUUUAUGCCAGAAAGUUUAUUUAACCCUUACCAUUUAAUUAUCCCCCAAUUCUAAGAAGUGUGAAUUAUCCCCAUUUUACAGAUGAGAAAGUUAAGAUGCAAAGAUGUUCUGAGAGUCGGGUGAAAUGAUCAGCCUAAGAAUGGUAGAAAAAUGCCUGUCCUUCUGAGGCAAGAGGGAAGGGGGCAGAGAUAAAAGCAUGAAGGUAGACAGGGGACAACUGAAGGUGUUCAUGUUUGAAGACCUAGCUUCUGUGUGCUCUCUUUUACAGCUCUACUCAUACCUAGGACCUAAGGAAGGUAUUGACAAAGUGGAAGCUGCCUUAAAGGAUGAGACACUCCCACCUUUUUGUUGCCUAUGACCAAUACAGAUUCUAAAAGACCAGAGGUGGCAGAAAUGCUGAAAGUGUUGGCAACGCAGAUACUGCAACAGUAGGAAACGUCUACCACCUCUAGUGCCAGAGGGACAAUGGGAGAUGGUGUUACCGGAACCUGGAAGCCUGAGUCAUCUGGCUGGUGGGGGCUGGGAGCAUGGUGGGGCCACAACCCAAACCAAGGCAGAGGAGAGAAAUACCCUGGUUUAUUUCCUCUUCAUGCCCCUCUGUCUUUUGUCAGUGUCUUACUGUUAAGCCAGUUGGCAAGGGAAUCUGGGAAAUGUAGUUUCCUGCAAUCCAGACACUCCAGAGCAGACCAGAGAAAGGGUGUGAAAAGAGCUGAGAGAGAAAUAGGCAAGUAAGUAGCACAAGUGAAGUUUAGGGCAUGAGUAGGGAAGCAGUGAAUAUAAACCUGUGGUGGCGUCAUUUUGUGGAGGGGCUUGAAUGUCAGGUCUUGAAUGUAGGGUUUCUGUAUGUGUCAUUACGCAGAGGUGAGCCAUAGAAGGUAAAAUGCAGUAUGGCCUCAUUAAAACUGUUCAAUGGGGAGGUUGGGGGAGAAAAGGGAAACAGUAGCUUCCCUUUGAGUACUUGUUAUUUACUAGGCAUGGUGCUAGUUUUUAUUUAAUCAUCUCAGAAAAAUGAUGUGUUUGGUUCCAGAUACGUGGAAUUUGAGAUAACUUACUAGUACUUCAUAUGGGUAAUUUGCACAGUUAAUUGGAAAUGUGAGUCUGCAACAGAGGGUGGGGGAUAGAGAUGUAAGGAUGGAGACUCUGGUGUCAUCUGAAGAGAUGAGAGCAGAAGUUGAAGGAGAGGGAGGACAAGAUACUCAAGUCAAACAGUAUCGAGAAAGAAGAUGAGGGCAGGCAUUAGGGAAACCAACAAUUUAAGUGAUGGACAGAGUAAAAAAAUAAAGAGUAGGUAGGAGAAGCAGAAAAGCUGAUCUUCCUACCGAAGCAGAGUAGCUGAAGCCUCAAGAAGGGGAAGAUCAGUGUGUCAGAUGACAUUGUCUGGUUAGAAGGGAUGAAGACUGAGAAAAAAAUUGAAUAUAGCAGUAUGUAGGAACAGUUUCUCUAGACUGGUGGGGCCAUGAGGAGGUAAGGCAGCCUUCAUCAGAUGGCCAUGGCUGGUUUAGCGGAGGAGGAGUAAGUAGUUUGCUGAGGCUAGGCGUGGAAGUUGGGUUCUGGGAGAAUGGAAGUGUCCUGUAUCUCCUGCGUGCUCUUUGGGUGUAGAGGCUGCAUUAGCUUCCCUGCUGUACCCAAGUGCUUAUAUAAUGCACAGGACUCAAUUAUUUGUGUUAGCUGACUCGCAGGAUGAAUGACUGAAUUUGGCAGAAAGUAUUUAAAAUUGAAUAAAUGGAUUGUGGAGUGGCAGUGAAAACCCAGCUGAGUCAAUAGCUUCAUUAUACUUUCCUGAAUCUCAAUAAUCUAGACUGGUAAGAAUAAGAAUAGUGAGUGUUUCCCUGACUGGGAUUGGUGAGGCGAGAGUAACAGAAACCAAAAGACUAUUAAUAAAGAGACUAGCGGGGCAUACAAAGAAUUUUUGAAAUGUCUGAUGAAUUGGGUCUAGAUUGGUUAGGGAGA
rnacentral:lncRNA from 1 species